AUGAAAAUUGUUGAAAAUAUACUCUGUACCAAAUAAGAGCGCUCUUAUUUGGUACAGACUAUAGACAGAACAUUUGUCCCGAUGGCUGGGACCAGGCCCGGCUCAAGGGGUAGGCGACAUAGGCCUACGCCUAGAGCGGCACUUAAGCAGCAAUUUAGUAAGAGAGAAAACCGGUUCCACUGAAAAUCCGCUCAAAAAAUUUCAAAGUCCAAGCCAAAACUUCCAACGGAUAUCGUCAAAUAAUUGAUUUAUUAUCUGACCAAAAAAAUUCAUAAUUUCACACAUAUCAACCACAAUGUGAAAACCCCUUCAGAGUAGAACGCGACCUCCAUUGCUCCACCCAACCAUACUUCAUGUGAAGAUAUAAAAUCAGCACUUGAAAAUUUCGACCUCACAAUAUUGCAAACCUGGCCAAGGAUGACCACUUCAAAACUAUAUUCGGCAUCACUUUCAUCCUCCAAACGACCACACUUAAAUUAACAUCGAAGAACCUCAAAAACGCGCGAGCUAGUUCAAUUCCAGUGAAUAGAGAUGCCAAGUUUCAGUGGCGUAGCCAGGAAUUUUGUAUGGGGGGGGGGGGCGGGCUAAGUAUAUAAAUACAAUAUGUCUUU